AAUCGAAGAAAGACACGCACAUAGCUCUUUGUCAACAGCUCUCAGUCUCUCUCUGUAUUUAGUUUUUAUAGCAAUCAUGCUUGAAAAGCUCAACUCACAGAGAUAUGUAGUGGAAAAUGGGAGCAAUGUCAAAAUAGCUUUGUUUGCCAGAAGGGGGAACUCCUUGGCAGUUUCCAACCAAAAACUGUCCAAAGGUAGAUCAGCAAAUCUUAGCUUGAAGCCACGAUUUUGUCUCAGUUCAGCUAGUUCCUCCUGCUCCUGUAAAGUCAUGUCCUUUCCACCAACUGAUGCUGAGCUAUAAGGGUCCCUAACCCAGUCAAGGCAUUCAGUGGAGACUGAAGAGAAAUAAAAUGACAACUUCCCCUCGAGAGUUUUUAAAUGUUUAGCUAUUAUCUCACACAGUGCAGCAGUGUGAACACCUUGCCAUUGCUUGGUGAGUGUGAACAUUUCAAGAUUGCCACUUUCCACGUGUUGAUGCCAGAGUUGCAGCUUUGCACGGAAUCCAUUUAUUUUAUCUGUACUUGUAAGCAGGUUUUCAUUUCGGCCUUGCAUUCGUGUGUUCAGUUCAUUCAGAUGAUGAAAUAUAUCUGCCAGGUAUGCCAGCCUUGCACACCACUCAUCACUUGCAAGCAGUUUUGCGUAAUCUGCCCUCUCAUCUGUCAGAAACACUUUAAGUUCCUCCCGCAGCUCAUACACACGAACCAAGACCUUGCCACGCGACAACCACCGGACCUCCGUAUGAAACAGCAAGGUUUUAUGCUUCGCUCCCAUCUCCUCACACAAAGCUGCAAAUAUGCGACUUUUCACGGGUCGUGACUUUACAAAGUUUACCAUGCGCACAACAUCAUCCAACACAUGAACUAGGUCUGCUGGUAAAGUCUUGGCUACGAGGGCCUCGCGGUGCAAAAAACAAUGCGUAACAAUAACAUUUGGAUUUCUUUCCUUCACUCUGCUUACAAAGCCUUUGGUGUGCCCGACCAUGGCUGCAGCUCCAUCGGUGCAGACACUUAUGCAGUUUUCCCACUUAAGUCCUCCUUGUUCAAGGUAUUCUGAUGUGACCCGAAAAAUUUCUUCUCCUGUUGCUUUUUCUGGCAAUGCCUUGCAGAAAAAGAAGUUUUCUCUAAUUGCAUCACCAUCAACAAAACGCACAUUGGCCAAGAGUUGAGCAU